GUGAGGAGUGCUGGUAGCUGGCCUUGAGAACACUAUCAAAAGAAAUACAUGUAGGAGGAGUCCGUCUUUGGUUGGGUGUAGCAAGAAAAUAAAGGACGAUUCAGGCCGAAAGGAAAUACAAAACUGCUGAAAUUGUUUUCAUCUAGAUCCUACUAAAAUUAGUGAGAAGACUACAAAUGAUUUAGAUGAACGCUGUUUCUCUGUUGUUUGUUUGGUAUGUAUGUUUCUGCUGUUCAAUAGGUUUGUUUUUAGAGUGGCUUAAGUAGAUUGUUGCAAGAUAUUUGAAGUCAUUAAGUCUGAUAUUUCACUUAGUUAUUAGUUUUUGGAAGCUUUUUAGUGAGCAUAGUAUUGUGGCAGUUUGCUUGUAGAAGAAUAAAGACCCACAUUUAGUGUUGAUGUCUAUUUUAUUGUUUUUUUGUAGCCUGUCAGAAUCGUAAACAAUUUCAGUAAAGCAGAACCCCACGCAGCAUAUAGAAACAUUUUUGUUCUUAGCGAUUUGAAUAAUUUUGAUUUUGUUAUAUUAAAAUAGCACACAAUUACCUUUCUGCUCAUUCAUCCAUUUAGACAUGAAUCUCAGCAAAUAUUUUGAAUUUAGAACUAGGUGAAUGUUUCCUGCCUCACUGUUCAUCAUGAGGCCCCUUAUGACAUCAUCAUAACCAGAAGGCAUUCACCUAGCUGAUUUCAUUAACACAGUAUCAUUUUCUUCUGUUUUGGAGUUUUACACUUAGACUCUUGACUGUUAAAACCUUUUAAACUAGCAAAUUGUGUAAAUGGAACACAAAGACUGCAUACAAAUAGUGUGUAUACAAGCUUCAUAGGUAAAAAAUUCACCUGUCACAAUUAGACAUCAUUGGUUUCAAUAAAAGAAUGCUUUUCUUAUUGCAUAACGUCUUACUGUUUGCAGACACGGUGACUGGAAUGUCAGUGUUGAGCUUUAAUAACAUGCCAGUGAUUGUGUCAUUAAGCAGCAAAGCAUUUAGAAGGGUUUAAUCUCCGUUUACUUAACAGCACAACUGCAAACAUGUAAAUGGCAUGUGUCCUCCUGACGGCAGUUCUGGCAUCAAGGUGGUUUUUUUCUGAUUUGACUUGAAGUAGUUGACAUUUCAGCUUGUAAAAGGAAGUGAGAAAGCAAAGUACUCAAUCAAGACAUGAUCAUUUUUCUGGCAGAGCAAAAAUGUCGCAGUUCUUUGGCAUUUUCAAAAUUCGUGUUUGGAGUUGCAUGAAUUUGGUUAUUUGUUUAAUAACAGGUAGAGUCUUCCAGUUCUGUCACUGUAAUGUUUGCAUGAGGAGUACUUUAUAGACGCAGACUGUAAACUGUAGAGUUGCUGCUCUGAUGUUUCUUUCCUUGUAAGCUGCAGCUUGUCCCCUUACUCGCACAGAUGGAAGUGGCCUUGGAGAUGAAGCUUUAGUGGUUCUGCUGUGCUGCAGCUUUUUCAUCCAGAUGUGGUGGUGAUUUGAGGAGAAAGCCUACAUAGCGUUAAUAAGCCGUAUGACUUUAUAUUUGUUAACAUCUGUCUUCUUACCUACUUAUUUUAACCCUUUUCCAACAUGCCCUUGUUCUGCCAUCACCCCACUGGCAGCCCACUCAAGAAUCCAGCCCAUGUCUGGGGGUCAAGGUGGUGAGCAGCAGGGCUUCCCAGCCUGGGGGGUGUGUGAUAGUGCAGGCAGGGGCCAGAAACCGCCUCCCAAAAACCCUGUGGUGGUGACAAUGUAAUUAAUUGGUUGGGGUCUGCUAAUAGAAAAGAACUUCUGAUUGCUGUUACUUUGAAAGGGAUCUUAUGUUUGAAAUCACUGUGGGACAAAUCAGCUAAUGCAACAGGACAGGAGGAUACCUGCUGGUUUAGGAUCCAUUUCUAACUCUUUGCAUGAUUUCUAAUUUUUCUGGGCUUAGUUUCCAGUUCCUUCUCUAGCUUUCUGUUGCAGUGACCAGCUUUCUAAAGUACUGUUUUGAACAACGGCAGUCAGAGCAGUUAAGCUACUAGGAAACCAACCUAAAGAAGAAUUGAACUCAGGAUGUAUGAAGAAAUCCAACUGACAUGUAUACUGUCACCGUCCUCUCAGAUCCCUGUUGCAAUGGAUUCUUUUUUUCCUUCCUGUGAUCACUUAGGUAAAAACUGCAAAAAAGGAAAUAAUUGGCGUGUUGUGCUAAAAUAUCCUUGUAUAAUCUAAGUGGCAUAGGAAAAAAAUGAAUUGCUUAUACAGGAAUAACUUUAUUUAAAAUCUCUUUACUAAAAGGAAUCAGAAAUAAAUAAGGGAACCUCAGGGCACUAGAUCAUUCACUUGAGAUUCAUCAAACAGCUGACCCUUCUCUGAAGUUUUUAAUCAUCACUGCAGAAGCAAAACCAAGUGUCGUUCCAUCCUGCUGUGGAUCCUGGGCAGCAGUGUUGUUCUUUCACAUUCUUCAGAACACAUACCAGUUACCUGAAGUUUUUAAUAACAAAUCUCACUUGGAGUGUGAACCGAAGCAGAUGUGCGAAUAUAGAGGUCAUGAUGUUUCUUUGCUCUGCAGCUUUUUUUUUUCUGGACGUAAUUUACCUUUCUACACAGAACAAAAACUAGCAUAUUGGGAAAGUUCAAGAACAAUCCUUUCAGCUGAGCCUUGUGAACAGCUGCCAGAGAUCUGAGGAGGAAGGAUCUCCCAAGGAAAAGAAUGCACAUGAACUUCUCGCUUCAAUCUGUUAGCCCAGACUGAGCAGAACAACGGGGACAUGAAAUGAGGAGCAGCUUAGAGCAUGGCUGGGCACUGAGACUUGCCCUGUUACAACCUCAUCAGGUCUAUUUGGGAUUUCAGUUAAUAUGACUCACAGAGCAUAAUCCAUGGAGAAUUAUGAUUGGAUCCAUAGAUGGACUGUUGGACUGGAUGACCUCUUCCAGCCUUACUGAUUCUAUGACUGUACGACAGACUCCACGAUCCCACAUUUUCCUGCCGCUUUGGGAUGCGCACUGCCGCCUUUAUAUGUACGUAUCUUUUCUUGGCGGGUCUGCAGGAGGUGUAAUCUCUAA